GAGUAGUAAUAAAAAUGCGCGCAAUGAGUUUUUUAUUGAUAACCGCAGCUAUAUUCGCAGUUUUUGUAAAUGUAGAAGCACGAAAACCUCAAUGCAACUGGGAACGACGCACUGUCAAACCGGGUGAUCGAGUUUGUGAGCGACUCUGUCUACGGAGAAUUCGUGGAUCACCGAUUGGCUGCUAUAUAGCGAAAUCGGCUACCACAGUGACGACUUGUUCAUUGGAUUGUUGUCGAAAGUACAAUGGCUGUAUAAAAUUAUAAAUUGUAUAAACUCAAUAGGCUAGAUAAACAUGUAUACGACAAAAAAAGGGCUUAAAAUCUGUUAACUAUGUAUUAAUGUGCUUUUAAGCAAAAGUAAAUAAAGUGUGUUAACGUUAUAAAAAAAAAAUCUAGUUUAAAUUUCUAUAUAAAAGGCAUUGAAGUCUCGAGCCCAUUCGUAUUUCAUUUUCUGACUUGCUAUCAGCAGACGAUAAAAAAUGUCGAAAUAUUUUUACGUGAUUUUAGUUUUUACUAUACUUGCCGUAGCUCUGGUUAAAUCACAACGACCAAGGUGCCCUCAGAUAAAUGUUCUGCCACGACGUGGUCAACGUAUUUGUGAAAAGAAUUGCCCUUCAAUAGCUCCUGCAUAUCGUUGCGUAACAGGUAGUAGGGGCGUCCGAGUACGUAUUUGUCCACCUAAUUGUUGCAGGUCGGGAAGAAUCUGCCUUGCGUUCCAAAUAUCAGAAUAAUGUUGACAAUAAUUGGUAUAAUCAAUUUGUAAGGAAAUUUUAAUAAAA